CUACAAGCCUGUACAGAAUGUUAUGACACUGUAUACUGGAGGCAACUCUAACACAAUGGAUCUAUUGCUUUCAAUUUAUAAGUUUGAUCAACUGCUGCCAAAAGGAGAGUUUUAUCUUCAGAUAAAAAUGAUUGAAUAUGAUGGUUAAAGAUUUCUUUUAUUAUAAAACUCGCUAUUUUUGAAACAGACCCUUUAUCAGGAAAAGCAGUGCUUGUGCAUUCUUCCAAAAGUAUUCUGAUAAGUUUCUCACAUACAACAUUGAGAAGAAAAACUGAUUUUGAGGAGAGCUGUAGGUUAUUGUACAUGAAUCACUCCUACUAAGAGAUCCUGAAAGAGGUCAUCAAAGCCACCAGAAACUAUUCCUGGACAGAGGAGGUUUUAUAGGUGUGGUUGGUCUCCUUACUGACGUGUCAACUACAAAUGCACAGGGUUCUGCCUGAAAUGUUUUAGUUGUUGCAGAUGUGUAGCUUCUAUAUGUAAAGUCUUCACUGCACGUGCUACAGAAACUUGAACUAUCUGAAGAGAGGAUGGAGUCAUCAGAUACUGGACAGAUCCAGUCAAAAUAUUUGGAUGCUUUCAGAAACAUCUGCCUAGCUGAGAUGUGGGGAAGGAACAUAAAGCAUUUUCUCUCCCAGUCCCUGCUGAAAGGGAACAAGAAGACUAAGCAAUAAGUGAGAAAAGAAAUGAUGGAAUAGAUGUGAGGCUUCCACAGCAAACUCCUGUAAAACCUGCAGUUAAACCUGAGCAAGAGGAAUGUGACAUAUGUGUCUUUGCUCUUUAUUUGGAUCUGUGUGUAUGCUCUUGGAGCAGUGGCGAAGAAGCUCCAGGGUAAUCUAAAAACCAAAAUAAAUGCCUUGAGAUCUUUUCUGGGAAUGAAAAAAUACAAAGACAAGCUAAGAAGCUGGAGCAGGAAAUUGACUUCAAACUCUGCUUGGAGAAUCACCAGCUGCAAAACUGUAUGGGGCAAAUUUCUCAUAAGAGUAUAGAGGAUGUGACACUGUACAGAGUUCACACUCAUGACUCAAUGAUGAAAUGGAAACCAGGAAGACCUGAUUAUGCAUGUCUGUGAAACUCACCCAUGCCAUCUGGAAAGGAAAAAGUUAAGUUGCAUUUCUGCAAUACAUUCUCUCCCUUCCCUGAGCUGCUCCUGGAAUAUAAAGAAAGCAAGGAAAUAUUUACUGGGCCUUCAGCUUUCUGUACUACUUCGGAACAGCACUAGCAUCUAUCUCAGGGUUUAAAAUAUGGAAGUUCUUGCCUUCCUUGAAUCUUUUCUCCCAGAAAUAACAUAUUGGCUCUCUUCCCUGUGACAUGCCUCAUCUGACAUUGGCUGGCUUUCAUAUAAAACCUUUGUUUUAGCCUACUAUCAAUUCAACUUUUACAUUGACAAAACGUAAUUUUUGGUUGUCAAUGUAAAAGUUGACAUUUUUACAUUCAACUUUAAUUUAAAUGCUGAAUUUAAAUUUAAAUGCUGAAAAUUUAUUUAAACACUUAAAAUGAUAUUAGAAGAGGUAUUUUAUGUUUUUAAACAGAGAUAUAUUUCAUUUUUAUAUGCAGUCAACAGAUCACAUGUGUAUGUCUCUUAUGUGUUCCUGUGUGGGAAUAGCUUGAAUUACUACAUAAGUUCUCUGAGAAUAUUAAGUUCAUUUAGGGGAACAGGACAUAUCUAUAUGAAAAACAGAAAUAAUACUACAAACAAAAGAGAGAUCACGAGAUAACAUGUAAUUAAUUCUCAGUGAAUGACAUGUCAUGAAAUCAUCAGAAGAGAUGAGGAUAUGGGAAAAGCUUUAUGAAAGUAGUCAGAACCAUAAGGAAGAUUCGGUUUUGUUAAACAGAAAGACCUUUUUCCAUUGUGGUAUUAAGUUUAAUAUGAUUUUCAUUGUAUUAAAAUACUAAUGCAGUAAGUUGAAAAUAUAAUUGCAUUCUUUUCAUUUAAUCUAUUGUAAAAUAUAUAAUCAAAAUGAUAUACUUGUAAAAUAAUUACAUAUAUAAUAAAAUCAAUAUACCUGUAAAAGAAUCA
rnacentral:lncRNA from 10 species